GACGGGGGGGGCAAGUGUUCUUCGGAAUGACUGGGCGUAAAGGGACACGUAGGCGGUGAAUCGGGUUGAAAGUGAAAGUCGCCAAAAAGUGGCGGAAUGCUCUCGAAACCAAUUCACUUGAGUGAGACAGAGGAGAGUGGAAUUUCGUGUGUAGGGGUGAAAUCCGUAAAUAUACGAAGGAACGCCAAAAGCGAAGGCAGCUCUCUGGGUCCCUACCGACGCUGGGGUGCGAAAGCAUGGGGAGCGAACAGG
rnacentral:rRNA from 1 species